rnacentral:rRNA from 1 species
GACGAACGCUGGCGGCGUGCUUAACACAUGCAAGUCGAACGGAAAGGCCCUGCUUUUGUGGGGUGCUCGAGUGGCGAACGGGUGAGUAGCACGUGAGUAACCUGCCCUUGACUUUGGGAUAACUUCAGGAAACUGGGGCUAAUACCGGAUAGGAGCUCCUGCUGCAUGGUGGGGGUUGGAAAGUUUCGGCGGUUGGGGAUGGACUCGCGGCUUACCAGCUUGUUGGUGGGGUAGUGGCUUACCAAGGCUUUGACGGGUAGCCGGCCUGAGAGGGUGACCGGCCACAUUGGGACUGAGAUACGGCCCAGACUCCUACGGGAGGCAGCAGUGGGGAAUAUUGCACAAUGGGCGGAAGCCUGAUGCAGCAACGCCGCGUGCGGGAUGACGGCCUUCGGGUUGUAAACCGCUUUCGCCUGUGACGAAGCGUGAGUGACGGUAAUGGGUAAAGAAGCACCGGCUAACUACGUG